GAUGAACGCUAGCGGCAGGCUUAACACAUGCAAGUCGAACGGCAGCACGGGAGCUUGCUCCUGGUGGCGAGUGGCGAACGGGUGAGUAACAUAUCGGAACGUACCCCGUCGUGGGGGAUAACUCUCCGAAAGGAGUGCUAAUACCGCAUACGACCUGAGGGUGAAAGCGGGGGACCUGCAAGGGCCUCGCGCGAUGGGAGCGGCCGAUAUCGGAUUAGCUAGUUGGUGAGGUAAAGGCUCACCAAGGCGACGAUCCGUAGCGGGUCUGAGAGGACGACCCGCCACACUGGAACUGAGACACGGUCCAGACUCCUACGGGAGGCAGCAGUGAGGAAUAUUGGUCAAUGGGAGCAAUCCUGAACCAGCAAUGCCGCGUGUGGGAUGACAGGGCUUCGCCUUGUAAACCACUGUCGGACGGGACGAAAGGAGGCCUCGGGCCUCUGGGACGGUACCGUCAAAGGAAGGGUCGGCUAACUACGUGCCAGCAGCCGCGGUAAU
rnacentral:rRNA from 1 species